rnacentral:rRNA from 1 species
GCUACGGGAGGCAGCAGUGAGGAAUAUUGGUCAAUGGCCGUAAGGCUGAACCAGCCAAGUCGCGUGAAGGAAGAAGGAUCUAUGGUUUGUAAACUUCUUUUAUAGUGGAAUAAAGGUAUCCACGUGUGGAUAUUUGCAUGUACCCUAUGAAUAAGCAUCGGCUCACUCCGUGCCUGCAGCCCCGUUAAUACAGAGGAUGCGAGCGUUAUCAGGUUUUAUUGGGUUUAAGGGUGCGUAGGUGGUUUUUUAAGUCAGAGGGGAAAGUUUGUGGCUAAACCAUAAAAUUGCCGUUGAAACUGGAAGACUUGAGUGUGUUUGAGGUAGGCGGAAUGCGUGGUGUAGCGGUGAAAUGCAUAGAUAUCACGCAGAACUCCGAUUGCGAAGGCAGCUUACUAAGCCAUAACUGACACUGAAGCACGAAAGCGUGGGGAUCAAACAGGAGUAGAUACCCUUGUAGUC